GUGUUUUACACAUUUAAGUACUCAAUCUAAACUUGGAAGCUUUUUGGCAAUUCAUUAAAACCGAGCUGAAGUUUCCCUCACUGUAGCUACUAUCAAUAUAAUACAGUAUACAAUAUAAUAUAAUGAAAAUGAUAACAGGGAUUAGCUUGUUUUAUGGCUUUACACAGCUUUAUAUGGAACUAAAAUUCUAUCUGUCUGUCCGUCCGUCCGUCCGUCCGUCUGUCUGUCCGUCCGUCCAGCCAUCCAUCAAUCCAAUCAUUACAUCCAUCAAUCCAAUCAUUACAUCCAUCCAUCCAUUUACUGUACUGUUAUCCUAGCUAGGGUCAUGGGGAGAGUCUAUCAGGAGAACACUGAGCAGAGUGUCGACCAAGCACAAGGAACACUCACACACCCAUUAUCAAAUUACAGACAAUGUAAAGAUGCCAAUCACGCCGCAACUCACCUUGCAGAGCUUGAAGUACCUGGAGGAAACCCCUAGACCCCCACACCCAGAGGUGUACAUGAUGUACACUAAACCGCUGUGCCUUGUUGUGUUUUAGUCCUUACAUCCCAAAAAUCCACAGAUCAACAAUCAACUUAACUUAACUGCUGAUUCCUUUUUAAUUCUUUACUGGAAUCUUUCCUGUAAUGCAAUAGUGGUGCAUGUUGUCAUAAAACCGCCUGCCUUAAUGCUUUUUGUGUGUCCAUGGACAAGACAAUGAGUGAUGAGAUCGAGCAAAGCAGCUGAAGUUAGGCAAUGAUGCCAGGAUGAGUUUGUGAUGCAGAAGACAGGAAAUGAGGCAUCUGUGCUGCAGUCAUCAGUCUGGAUGCUCUUGGAGGAUUUAUGAAGUGGUUUUUUUUUUCCCCUCUCUUCUACUUUCCAACUACAUUUAUGCCAGAGAACUGUCGAAACUUUUUCCCAACCCUUACAGCAGCACAUCACAAAAUUUCAACUAGAGCAAGAAGCAAGAAAACACCACACAACCACUGUGGAGAAGAAAGCAGCAAAAAAAAAAAAAAAAAAAAAAAAGAAGAAAAAACCCACACCCCUCCACAUGCAGAUGCGUAGGUGGUCACAUCCUCCGCCGUUGUCUUAUCUUCAAAGGCAUUGAGUCAGCACCUUUUCAAAGCCUCAGUCACCUGAACGCCUUGUUUUCCGACACCAUCAGGGAACUGUUGUCAAGACAAUCCCCGAAGCAGCUGUCAGUCAACAAUCCCAGCAGAAGUACAGAAAUAGACAGUGUUCUCAACCCAUCGAUCUCACAAGGAACAGCGAAAGGGAGGAAGGGAAAAAUGAAUGAAAAAGGUAGAGAUGGAGUGGGGUAAAAGUGAUGGAGGAGUGCCGGCACGUCUAUCAAAUAUCAAGACCGCUGUUCUGACGUUAUCCCAUAAUGGAAUGAUGAGUUUUGGACAGCUGCUGGCAUUAAUACUGAGAUAAUAUUUGUAUUAUAACUAAAAAGGAUUCAACCACACACUUGUACAUUUGUUAAUUGUUCAAAAUAUGAUCAUUAAUGGAAGUGUCCUACAAUAGCUUCGUUUUUGUUAAAUGGAUGAUAAAAAAGUCUGAAGGGGAUGGGGGGCAAUAUUUUAGCACAACAUAUUACUAAAAUCCCAUGCAGACACAGAUGAUUGUUGAUGGAUGAUGCUUUUAAUCCUAUUAGACUAGAAAUAGCAGGUGCUGUUGCUCCUAUACAAAGUCUGAUGAUAGCCAUGAGACUGUCAUUUUUUUUAUGUUAGUAUGCUAGUAAAAGGGGCUCCACUUACUCCCCCAUGCUGCUAUUUUUUUUUAUUCUUCUUGGACCCGAGUAUGCUCUUUUCCUGUUUUUGAUGGCUUAGCUAGCUCUAUUUCUAGAAAAAAAGUAAAAUACAUGCUGUCCUUGCCAACACUGCACUUAUUACUGACAACAGAGACCUGAGUGUCGUGAGUGGAUGAUGGAGCUCUGCUUGGUGAAGCGUAAUAAAGAAAGGAUAUGUGGA